rnacentral:lncRNA from 1 species
UUCGUUUUUCCCCUUCUCCUCUCAAAACCCUUUCUUUUUCCCGCAGCCCACCAAACCAGUCUCAGAAAAACGACGAUCUCAAACCCGUUCACCGUUGGAUCGUCGUGAUAUUUGAGUAUAAUGUUCACAACACAAUUCCGAGCAUUCUCACCGUUGGAAAUUUUGAUAUCAUGUCUGAACUGAGAGAAAAACCCUUCGCAUUGUAGCUUUUUUCUUUCCCGCAGAAACCCAGAGCUGUCUUGGUAAAAUUACGAUCCCGGUUUCGUUAACCGUUGGAUUAUUGUAAAAUUUGGAUAUGUUGUUCGAAAUUCAAUUCUGCACGCUUCCACCGUUGAGAUUUGCGAGAUAAUAUUCAUGGAGGGAGAAAAAGGAAUCGUAUGAAGACAGUACAAGUGGAGGUUUCAAUCUCUUCUCCGUCUCUCUAAUGUUUGAGAAUUCUAUCGGAGCAGUCGGAUGAAUAAUUGAAAGAAUUUCCGGGAACCGCUAGAGAUGUUGCUAUCGCUGGCUGAAGACACGUGAGCCCGCUUAGAGGUAAGGGAUGAGUUAUUCACAGUUGGGGAUUAGUGAGAACAUGUGUAGGGAUCCUUAGAGGAUUGAAUUGGGAUUUUAUUUUGGGAUGUUUGUUAAAUUGCAAUUUUCCUUUAUGAUUAUAAAUAAAAUAUUGAUAUCCUAAUGAAAAUUGUUUGAUAAAUUAUGCUCUUGAUAUUUAUAUAUUUUGACCUAUGAUUUUGAUAUAAGUGUGUAAUAUUAUUUGAGGGGUUUUAGUUCUCAUGUUGUGAUAGUCUUUUGUAUAAAUUGCUAUAUUGAGGAUAUGAAAUGAUGAUUCAAAUUGUGAGUAUGUGAUGAAUUGUGGAAUAACAUGUGCUUUGAGAUUAUAAUAUUGUUAUUGAGAUUGAGUAUAAGUGUAAUGGUGAACAUGUGUUAAUUUGUGAGAUACGUGAAAACAUGUGAUGGUGGAUUGUGACACUAUGAGAGGUGAAAUUGUGAAUGAGUUUUAGUUGUGGAUAAGUGUGUAGUUAACACUUGAUGUGAAAUUACUUGUGUUAUAAGCUAUGAAUUGUACAAUAACCCGACCAGUGUUAUCUUGAGAAAAGUGUAAAUGCGCAGUGUUAAAGAGAAAGUGUAGGUUUCCUAUUUAGGAACCAGUGUUAAAGAGAAAGUGUAGGUUCCUAUUUAGGAACCAGUGUUAAAUUGUAGCGCAAUAUGUUGUACGUGUUUAAGACACGAGUGUGAGGUCGUGGGUAUUGUAUAAUUCACUAGCAAUGUCUGUGUGCUAAAAUGAUUUUAGGGGUUGGACCUGAAUCAGGAGGGAGAGGCCCUGACGGACUCUUCGGAGUGUAGGCCUUGGGGGUCAUCGGGUUUGAGUGCUCCUUUAAGCCUAUGCUGAUCCCAUAUGGUUGGAGCAUUCUCGCAAAACAUCGUGACCCUGACUGGUCUCCCUAUGAUCUUACUUAGUGAGAGUGACCUGACAAACCCAUUGUGUGGUGUGUCUUGUUAUGUACUCCUAAGCGCCCCAGGGUGGUUUUUCACUGACAUGGUACCACAUUGCAUAUAGAAUUGAGUCUUAGCAUAACUAUUGCAUAUGCUUGCUAAUUGAUGUGUUAUUAUAUCUUGAUCGAAGUGUGGGAUUCUUGUGUAAUGUGAUUGAUAAUUGAAAAGUGAAUUUUGAAUGACGAAGUGGUGAAGUUACGUGAGCUAUGUUUAAGCAAGUGGUAUCUCAUUUAUAUAAUAUGUAUAUUUAAUUGUCUUGUUUCUCUAUUAGCUAGGAAUGUGAUAACUCACUCCCUGUGUGUUGUUGUGUUUGGAUCCUGUGAUGAUCUUGAACUUGUGUUCGGGGGAGCAGAUGAAUAGGUGGAUGACUAUGAAGAACCUCAUGCUAGAGGACACGGGAACACCACGCUCUGAUAGGAUGUGACAUUAGGAUAUAGGUUUUAUAUUAAUUGUAUGAGACUUAUAUGACUUUCUUUGAGUCGAGAUGACUUUAUUAUUUAUUUGGACAAGUUUGAAUAUGAUGUAGAAGAAAGUGAAUGUGAGC